rnacentral:rRNA from 2 species
AAGCAUAUCAAUAAGCGGAGGAAAAGAAACCAACAGGGAUUGCCUCAGUAACGGCGAGUGAAGCGGCAACAGCUCAAAUUUGAAAUCUGGCUCCUUCGGGGCCCGAGUUGUAAUUUGCAGAGGAUGCGUCGGGUACGGGUGCCUUCCGAGUUCCCUGGAACGGGACGCCAUAGAGGGUGAGAGCCCCGUCUGGUAGGACACCCAGCCCGUGUGACGCUCCCUCGACGAGUCGAGUAGUUUGGGAAUGCUGCUCUAACGGGAGGUAUACUCCUUCCAAGGCUAAAUACCGGCUGGAGACCGAUAGCGCACAAGUAGAGUGAUCGAAAGAUGAAAAGCACUUUGAAAAGAGAGUCAAAUAGCACGUGAAAUUGUUAAAAGGGAAGCGCUCGCUACCAGACUUGGGUUCGGCGGUUCAACCGGGGCCAUGCCCCGGGGCACUCCGCCGACCCAGGCCAGCAUCAGCUUUCCGUCGGGGGCAAAGGCGUCGGGAAUGUGGCUCUCCUUCGGGGGAGUGUUAUAGCCCGGCGUGUCAUACCCUUCGGGGGGCUGAGGUACGCGCUUCUGCAAGGAUGCUGGCGUAAUGGUAGCUAGUGACCCGUCUUGAAACACGGACCAAGGAGUCAACCUUAUGUGCGAGUGCCCGGGCGUAAAACCCCAGCGCGGAAUGAAAGUGAACGUAGGUGAGAGCUUCGGCGCAUCAUCGACCGAUCCUGAUGUCCUCGGACGGAUUUGAGUGAGAGCAUAUAGGGUUGGACCCGAAAGAAGAUGAACUAUGCGUGUGUAGGGUGAAAGCCAGAGGAAACUCUGGUGGAGGCUCGCAGCGGUUCUGAC